rnacentral:rRNA from 1 species
UACGUAGGGUGCGAGCGUUAAUCGGAAUUACUGGGCGUAAAGCGUGCGCAGGCGGUUUGCUAAGACCGAUGUGAAAUCCCCGGGCUUAACCUGGGAACUGCAUUGGUGACUGGCAGGCUAGAGUAUGGCAGAGGGGGGUAGAAUUCCACGUGUAGCAGUGAAAUGCGUAGAGAUGUGGAGGAAUACCGAUGGCGAAGGCAGCCCCCUGGGCCAAUACUGACGCUCAUGCACGAAAGGCGUGGGGAGCAAACGAGGAUUACGAA